CUGCAGCCCGAGUGGUGAUCGAUUUUAUUGAGCCUAAAGCGUCCGUAGCCGGACUAGUAAACCCUUGGGUAAAUUGGGCAGCUUAACUGUCCAAAUUCCGAGGGGCUGCUAGUCUUGGGACCGGGAGAGGUCAGAGGUACUCAAGGGGUAGGGGCUAAAUCCUGUAAUCCUUUGGGGACCACCAGUGGCGAAGGCGUCUGACUAGAACGGAUCCGACGGUAAGGGACGAAACCCUGGGGCGCGAACCGGAUUAGAUACCCGAGUAGUCC
rnacentral:rRNA from 1 species